AGGAAUACUGUAUGAGCAUAGGAAGAAAUGCCUUUCAGACCUGGAAAAACAGCUUAGUCAGGAACCCCACUACAGACAAGGCUGUACCAGAACCCAGAGAUAUCCCUCACUCAGGAGAACCAGACAUAGUCACCCACUGGACAGUGCAUAAGCAGAAACUAAAAGCAAUGCUCUGCACAUCUGGAAAGAAAACACCUAGAUAAACCCUGUGGAUGGAGAAUCUCCCUCAAGAUCCUGACCCUCAAUUCAGAGACUUCUGUUAGAGACUGGACCUGACCUCCAGCUAAGAUAUGUCCCACAGGAAAAUAUGCAUAAGAAAUUCAACAACGAUGUAUUCCUACAAAGUUAUGUAAUGCCAAAGAUAAGAAAAAUGGCUCAUAUCACAGCAAACCUGGAUGCUGAAAGUAGAUCCAGACUGGAGCUUGUCUACAACCUUCAAAUGCCCAGCCCCAGUGAUCACUUCCAUCAACCAAACCCUGCCUCCUACAGGCUCUACAUCUUCCAAAACAGGACAACCAGCCAGGAGGUAGUGGGCAGGAAAUACAUAUAUGGUUACUUCUCUUCCUGUCAUUUUGCCAGGAAGCAGGAGUUUUUGAGCCCAGCAUGCAGACAGCUGGAUUGCAUAAAGCUGAGCACACUACAGAAUGAUGUGGCUUUAGAUCUCUACUUCCUGAAAUCUGUUGCCGGGACUUCCCUUCAACCUUUGUAACCUCACAUACAGGCCGUUCUGACAGGAGACGUGGACUCAGGGUUAAGGGGAUGAGCAGAGAAGCAAUGCCAGGGAGGGCUGCCCAAGAACAGGUUCCUAACAUGGGCAAGCCCUUCCUGUUGGCUGGGAGAGACUGGGUCUACAGGUGUGCACAUGCUUAACAGUCUCGUGGCUCUGGGUUCAAUCUCCAGAACUGUAAACGCCACGAAAGAUCACAAAAAAAAAAAAAAAAAAACCAAAAAA